rnacentral:tRNA from 1 species
GGACUAAUAGCUCAGAUGGUAGAGCAUCACACUGAAGAUGUGAGUGUCCUAUGUUCAAAUCAUAGUUAGUCCA